GGCGAACGGGUGAGUAACACGUGGGCAACCUGCCCAAAAGAGGGGGAUAACACUUGGAAACAGGUGCUAAUACCGCAUAACCAUAGUUACCGCAUGGUAACUAUGUAAAAGGUGGCUAUGCUACCGCUUUUGGAUGGGCCCGCGGCGCAUUAGCUAGUUGGUGGGGUAAAGGCUUACCAAGGCAAUGAUGCGUAGCCGAACUGAGAGGUUGAUCGGCCACAUUGGGACUGAGACACGGCCCAAACUCCUACGGGGGGCAGCAGUAGGGAAUCUUCCACAAUGGGCGAAAGCCUGAUGGAGCAACGCCGCGUGGGUGAAGAAGGUCAUCGGAUCGUAAAACCCUGUUGUUAGAGAAGAAAGUGCGUGAGAGUAACUGUUCACGUUUCGACGGUAUCUAACCAGAAAGCCACGGCUAACUACGUGCCAGCAGCCGCGGUAAUACGUAGGUGGCAAGCGUUAUCCGGAUUUAUUGGGCGUAAAGGGAACGCAGGCGGUCUUUUAAGUCUGAUGUGAAAGCCUUCGGCUUAACCGGAGUAGUGCAUUGGAAACUGGGAGACUUGAGUGCAGAAGAGGAGAGUGGAACUCCAUGUGUAGCGGUGAAAUGCGUAGAUAUAUGGAAGAACACCAGUGGCGAAAGCGGCUCUCUGGUCUGUAACUGACGCUGAGGUUCGAAAGCGCGGGUAGCAAACAGGAUUAGAUACCCUGGUAGUCCACGCCGUAAACGAUGAAUGCUA
rnacentral:rRNA from 1 species